rnacentral:rRNA from 1 species
GACGAACGCUGGCGGCGUGCCUAACACAUGCAAGUCGAGCGAGAAUCUUUAAAUUGAUUCCUUCGGGAUGAUUUUUAAAGAGGAAAGCGGCGGACGGGUGAGUAACGCGUGAGUAACCUGCCUUCAGGAGGGGGACAACACUUCGAAAGGGGUGCUAAUACCGCAUAACAUUGUUAUAUCGCAUGGUAUUACAAUCAAAGAUUUAUCGCCUGAAGAUGGACUCGCGUCUGAUUAGAUAGUUGGUGGGGUAACGGCCUACCAAGUCGACGAUCAGUAGCCGAACUGAGAGGCUGAUCGGCCACAUUGGGACUGAGACACGGCCCAG